GGCUGUAUGAUGAAUGGAAAAAUCUAUCCCUUUGGACACAUUGAGAGGACAGAAAUGUGCCAUACAUGUUACUGUAACAAAUAUGCACUGCAAUGCUGUUCUGCACUUGAAUUGCACAAUAUACAGUAAUCAUAAAACAUUUGCUUCCUGAUUCCACAUAAAGAACUCCAGCUUUCUCUCAGAAUUUGGAUCUCUCUUGAAGCCAAUCUUUCCACAAUGAGGAGCUCUCUGGCUUUCUUUGUUGCAAUGGGCAGCAUUGUGACCCUGGGUGAUGCACAAUGCUUUACUGCACUUCGAGAGCCAGAAUGGCCCCAAAAAGGCUGUAUGAUGAAUGGAAAAAUCUAUCCCUUUGGACGCACUGAGAAGACAGAAAUGUGCUAUACAUGUUACUGUAACAAAUAUGCACUGCAAUGCUGUUCUGCUGACAUGAGAAAUGCCUCCUUCUUUGAAAAAGAAAUGCACUUGUCUCUCUACUCUGACAUGCUGUCCAUCAGUAGCCUGGCAGGAGACCCUGUCAUGCUUUACAGGUUCUCUUGCAGCCAGGUUCAAAAUCCAUUAUCUGUUUGAAGUGAUGCACUAUUUGGGACAUGCUCUGCAAUGGCUUCUAUUCAGAGUGCAGGGACUUUUGGUAAGACCUGUGCUGCUCUCACCUCAGAAAAAUCAGUGAGGAUGAGAGAUCAUCAUCCUCUUUCCCUUUUUUUCCCAUUUUUUCCCUUAAUUUCAUCACUGUCAUCACCCAAUGUUGGCAGUGACUGUUCAUGUCCAUUGACCACUGUGAGCACACCUGAAGUGUACAGCAAUGUUCCAAUGUUUAAACUCUGAUACUCUGACUUGUCCUCUGCCAAGCCCUGAUCCUGAAAGCCUACACACACUGUGCUGCUUUAGUGGUUCUCAGCCACUCUGAAAAGGAGAUCCAGAGCAGCCCCUGGACACAUGCUUCCUGAUGGCAGCAGAGCUUGAGGUGCUAAGAAUGCAGAUGCCUUCUGUCUCCUCAGUACAACAACUGCCCACAUUCACAGGGGAAUGAAGCUCAGCUUGCAAGCAGGACUUGGGAAUCAAAUCACCCACCUGGCAAUGCCUAGUGUCCUACAUCUGCCCACAUAUAUGAGAGCAGACAACAAAACCCUGUUAAAUGCUGCUUCUACAUGGAGUCCUCCACUCCAGAAUUGGAUGUUAAAAAUCCACAGCAGUCUGUAGUUAAGUGUUCCAUGGUUUGAACAGAAACACACCUUCCCAAACAAGUGGAUUGUUUAAUGUAGUUCCAUAAUCACAGUCAAUAUUUGUCUUGUGAAAGUAGGAGGUUCCACACAGCUGAGCAUUCUUAGUGCAGGGAUCCUCACUUGGUCCCCAGUCAAGUGUCAAUCCCCAUUUAUUCAACAGGGCUGUUUCCUUCACAGGGCAAUCUAUCUCAAGCUCCAUGAGCCAUUAUUAAAAUCAGAAAGACGUAAUGUGGUGUUUUUUCCUUGGCUUUGGUAAUUUGAUUAUGAACUUCUUUUAAGGUUUCUAAGACCUGCACAUAACAUACUUUGUUUGGGUGAAAAAUAUCCAAGUAUUUUGCAGGUACUGGUAUUACACACUUCACCUUUGAAAGUUCUCUUAAAGUGCUGUAGCUGGAUAUCUGGAUAUCAGUCAAUAGCUCAGUGUUUCUGUUUAACUGCUUCCUGUAAAGAUGAAAAAUAUGAGGUGUCAGAAUAAAGAGUCAGCUCAGCUUUUUCCAGUGGAGACAUUAGCAUAUGCCUUUUAAAAAUCUUGAUGUGCAUUCACUGAUUCCAUCCUAUCAUUCCUCUAAAUGGACUAUGUGAAAACAUACAUUCUCAUGUUGCUUAAUGUUCUAAAGUAAGUUUUGCCCAAAAGGUUUUUGUGUUCUUCAGGAGAGGAACAGAUUUGAGACUUGUCCUGAAUGACUUUUCUGGUUUUAUGCUAGUUCAUAUCAAAAUUACAGAGAGCACAGCUUCAGCUGAUGCACCUGAAGGAAUGUUCUUGGUUAAGGAAAAAAGAGCCCCAUCUUUUUAAGGAAGCAAUAUUUUGAGCAUAGAGAUCAAAGUCUUCCUACCUAAGUAGCUCAUAGAACAGAUUCUUGAUAAAAAUCUGGUUUUCAGAAUUUAUUAGUUUAUUUAAUUUCUUUUAUUAAAAAAAAACAAAACCCCAGAAUUUAAGAAACAAAAGCUUGGAGUUUCCUAAUGGAUUACUUUGUAAUUGGCAGCAUUGAGAGGUGCAGACUUUAAGAUUAAUAUCCAGUUAGUUAAACCCUGGAAAUAUGCCAUGUGACAUAGCAACAUUUUGGCUUUUCUUCAUUUUAUUCCCCAUCAAAGCCUCACAAAUUAAGUUACGAAAAAUUACUUCUAAAAUUUAUGAAACUUAUAUUAUUGGUUAUCUUAUAUCUUAUUUUGGUGGAGGAGAAAGAGAUGUUGUAAUGGGAUCCAGCUUCAGCUAACGUCUCAAUGCUAGGAGGUUUUGAUCCUGGAAGUGAACAUUAACCUUUGGUUAUCUUCCAGUGCACACCACAGCACUGACCAUGAUGAUGCAAAGACCUGGCAAAAGCUCCAUUGGCUGUUAAUACCCUGUGCAGGCCAAUGCCCCUGUCUUGGCUCAGCCUGCAGCCCUGCCCUGGAGGGAUGUUCCUUCAAUGGGAUGUGCCUUCAGUGGGCUGUGAUUAUCUUCUCUCAUCCCUCCCCUGCAGAGACACCCCUUAAGUUGGCACAUCCUCCCUUUCCAUGAUUUGAAUUGCACAACAUAAAGGCAUCAUAAAACCUUUGCUCCCUAAUUCCACAUAAAGAGCUCCAGCUUUCUCUGGGAACUUAAAGCUCUUUGGAAGCCAAGGUUUCCACAAUGAGGAGCUUUCUGGCUUUCUUUGUUGCAAUGGGCAGCAUUGUGACCCUGGGUGAUGCACAAUGCUUUACUGCACUUCGAGAGCCAGGAUGGCCCCAAAAAGGCUGUAUGAUGAAUGGAAAAAUCUAUCCCUUUGGACGCAUUGAGAGGACAGAAAAUUGCCAUACAUGUUACUGUGACAAAUAUGCACUGCAAUGCUGUUCCCUGUAAGUUUGAACUUCUUGGUACCAUUAUUGCCUGUAGGAUGAUUGCAGCUUUCCCUUGCUGGGGAUAAAUGGGUCUGUAAGGGCACAAGAGAGCAUUUUCUGAUCCAUGUCACAGAGCUAGUGGAAGCUCUGAAACUAACAUUUGCUUUCUAUUUGCUUUCUCUUUGCCACUGACAGCAGUCUAUAUCCCCAACGUUACAACAAAGAGAAAUGUAAAGUCAUUUUCGACAGAAAGCGCUGUCAGUCUGUUGUGGUGCAGAAGGAUGAUCCCUCUAAGUUUUGUUCCUUUGCUCUUGCGGGAUAACAGCUGCUCCAAAUCUCUCUGCACUGUGGAACUCCUCUCCUCCCACAGAGGAUUUGCAUUCACAGAGAAGCACCAUGACACGGGAUAAUCUGAAAAAGAGAGCACUUCAGUUGCUCGUUGUAACCUCUGAAUUGACCCAAUUCAGUUUACAAGAUGCAUAAUCAGAUACAGUGUCUCAUUCCUGUCAUUACUGCAUUUGUUCACUACAAUAAACUAAUAUGAAACAUCAA